UGAUAUAUAGCUCAAUUGGUUAGAGCGAUUGUUUCCGUAUGGAUUUGGUAGAUUUAGGUUCAAAGCCUAAUAUAUCAA
rfam:Ruminococcus sp. 37_24 Ley3_66761_scaffold_391, whole genome shotgun sequence.